GAGUUCAUCAUUCAAGUUAUUACUAAAUCCUGUACAUAGGUUCUUUUGUUUAUUUUUGGCAGAUAGCUGAGAAGAUAUGAAUGGUGAGAGGUGAUAUGAGCAUUUUCUGGAUUGCAAGUCAAUGUAGGCAGUUUUUCAGUUCACGACUGUGGCAUGGCACAAAGGAUGAAAAACUACAUGGAGUCCAUGUCCAAUUCAAACUCCAAGAAGACCCAGAGGGACUCCCCUAACCGAGCCCCUUCAGUGUGAAAGUCUCCUCAGGACAGCCCUAAACUCAAGUUUUGCACGGUUUUUAUUUAUGGAACCAGGAAGGAAGGAUAAAAGAUAGAGGAAGGACAUCAGUGCAGGAAUCCAUGUAAGGUGAAGUUAAAGGACAAGAGUACAGGAAAAGACAGGGGAAAGUCAAGGUGAUCUGUUAUAUAACUGAACUUGGAAUCUAAAUAAUAAAUUAGAGCAUAUGGGAAG
rnacentral:lncRNA from 1 species